rnacentral:rRNA from 1 species
UACGGAGGGUGCAAGCGUUGUUCGGAAUCACUGGGCGUAAAGGGCGUGUAGGCGGUCUGCUAAGUCUGGUGUGAAAUCCCCCCGCUCAACGGGGGAACGGCGCCGGAUACUGGCAGACUCGAGUACCGGAGAGGAAGGUGGAAUUCCCGGUGUAGCGGCGAAAUGCGUAGAUAUCGGGAGGAACACCGGUGGCGAAGGCGGCCUUCUGGACGGAUACUGACGCUGAGACGCGAAAGCGUGGGGAGCAAACAGG